rnacentral:lncRNA from 1 species
GUGCCUGGAGUGGUUUUGGCUCCUUCUGGGGCUGUUUUGGUGGAAUCCAUCGGCCGCGGGCCGGGAGAUGCUCCUCACUCCGUGUGUCCAUCCCACAGCAUUCCUGCUGCUGCUGGCCUUUGGGAUUGGGGCUGUCUGCUGCUGGAGGAGGAAGUAAGUGCCCUUUUCCCCAAGUUUUCCAAGAUUUCCCAAGAAAAGCUCUGGAAUGCCAGGGCUGCUCGUCUCCCCUCCGCAGGCGCGCCAGGCGAGGCUACGCCGUGACCGAGACGGGAAUUCCCAUGGAGGCUCUUCCCCGUGGGAAUGAGGAGGUGGCACCUCCUGGCGUCGUCCCCACGGGCUGAGCGCCCACCCUGGGGACACUGGGCACAGCCACCAUCCCCAGGGAUGCCGGAGGAUGGAAUUCUGGCCGUCCCCUGAGGGGUGGAGGAGCACACGGAGCAGCCAGGGAUGUGUGGCUGAACACGGACAACUGCCACGGACGAUCCCAAAGCCACGGAGCCAAAGGUGUUGGGACCAUCCCAGGCUCACACUCAGGGAUCAGCUCAGGGAUCCUCUGGAAUCCUUCUGGAUCUUUCUGGGCUCUGGAUCCCGAUCCCCAGCGGCUCACGGGGAAUCCAAGCUGGAGCAGACACCACCAAGGACCCAACAACGUAAUUUAGGGAAUAUUUCCCUUUGUGUGUUUUUUCCUUUAUCCAUCAGCAGUUUUUAUCCACUUGUUCCUUUAUCCAGGUUUUAUCCACUCGUUUCCUUACACUCCGGAAAAGGCGACUCUCUGUUUUUCUGUAUAAAUAAAUAUAUUUUAUAUAGAAAAUAAAUAUAUUUUCGCAGCAGUGGAUUUUUGAACUGGGGAUGGCGGGAAGGACGGGAUUGGGAUGAAUCCAUUCCCACCAGACGCCACAGAAAUGAAGGAUUCAUUCCCAUCCCCUGGAGGUGACGGCACAGUGGCAGCUCUCAAAAAGCUUGGGAAGCACUAGGGAUCCAACUGCUGGAAUUCCAUGGAUUUUUUGGGGGGAAUUCCUGCCCUUUCAUCCAUAUCCAAGAGUUUGGGGGAAUUCCUGCCCUUCCAUCCACAUCCAAGAGUUUGGUUGAUGGAAUUCCUGCCCUUCCAUCCACAUCCAAGAGUUUGAUGGAAUUCCUGCCCUUCCAUCCACAUCCAAGAGUUUGAUGGAAUUCCUGCCCUUCCAUCCACAGCCAAGAGUUUGGGGGAUUCCUGCCCUUUCAUCCACAGCCAAGAGUUUGGUUGAUGGAAUUCCUGCCCUUCCAUCCACAUCCAAGAGUUUUGGGGAAUUCCUGUCCUUAAAUCCUCAUCCAAGAGUUUUGGGGAAAUUCCUGCCCUUCUAUCCUCAUCCAAGAGUUUGGUUGAUGGAAUUCCUGCCCUUCCAUCCAUAUCCAUGAGUUUGGGGGAAUUCCUGCCCUUCCAUCCACAUCCAAGAGUUUGAUGAAAUUCCUGUCCUCCCAUCCACAUCCAAGAGUUUGUUUGAUGGAAUUCCUGCCCUUCCAUCCACAUCCAAGAGUUUGCUGGAAUUCCUGGAAUGCAUUCCUGGAGCUGGAGAAUUUGAAAGGAGAGGGAGGGAAGCAGCUCCAUGAAGAGAAAAAAAAACAAACCCAGGAUCCAGGAGCUUCCUGCAGCAGCAGGCUGUGUGCAAGGGCAGAUCCCUAAAAAUCACUUUCAGUUUUGGUUUCCCAUGGCCCAGAACAGGAAUUAGGGUUAUUAAUUAGGGAAUUAGUGGCACGAGGCUGAACAUUCCUGGGAGGGCUGGGAAAUAAAGGAUAUUUAAGGGCAGGGAGGAGACACAAAGGAAAUGUUAAGGCUUUUUUUUUUAUUAUUUUGGCUAAAAAUUUAAUUUCAGGAUUGGAAAUCCCUCUCCAGUGUGCCCCCAAGUUUGGCUGAAACCAAACCCAAGGAAUUUUUCUCCUGCUGACUCAUCCCUUCCCUCCUGGUUGGCUGCAGGGAGAUGGGAAAGAGUCCAGGGAAACCCCUCAGGCUGCAAGGAUGGAAAAGGAAUUCACUGGGAUUGGUUUAGGAUUUCCUCCCGUGGCUGGACAGGAACAGUCCAUUUCCAAGAAAUAAACUUUCUUUGGAUACCUUCCAGCAUUGUAUUUCCUCCUUUUUCCAGUGGGUCAGAGGGAUUUCCAGGAAUUGGAAAUCCAGGAUGGGAUUUCCAGGAAUUGGAAAUCCAGGAUGGGAUUUCCAGGAAUUGGAAAUCCAGGAUGGCAUUUCCAGGAAUUGGAAAUCCAGGAUGGCAUUUCCAGGAAUUGGAAAUCCAGGAUGGGAUUUCCAGGAAUUGGAAAUCCAGGAUGGGAUAUUUGGGAAGUUUGGACAGCGGUGACAGAGGGAAAAAGGGGAAUUUUCCAAAAUGAACCCUGUUCUGUCUGAGCCCAUUCCUAAAGUGCAGAUUCCUUUGGAAAUCUCAUUCCCAGCUCCUGGAGGAAAGGCACCACACUGUCCCCAGGGAGCCUGGAAAUUCCUCUGGAGCUGGGAGGAACAUCCACCUGGAAUUUGGAGCUGGGCUGAAUUCCUGCUCCAGCAUCUGCCUGGAAUUUGGGACUGGGCUGAAAUCCUGCUCCAACAUCCACCUGAUUUUGGAGCCGGGCUGAAUUCCUGCUCCAACAUCCAUCUGGAAUUUAGAUCUGGGGUGAAAUCCUGCUCCAACAUCCACCUGGAAUUUGGAGCUGGGCUGAAUUCCUGCUUCAACAUCUGCCUGGAAUUUGGGACUGGGCUGAAUUCCUGCUCCAACAUCCACUUGAUUUUGGAGUUGGGCUGAAUUCCUGCUCCAGCAUUCACCUGGAAUUUGGAGCUGGGCUGAAAUCCUGCUCCAACAUCCACUUGGAAUUUGGAGCUGGGCUUUAAUGCUUUAAUCCUGCUCCAACACCCAUCUGAUUUUGGAACUGGGCUGAAUUCCUGCUUCAACAUCUGCCUGGAAUUCGGGACUGGGCUGAAAUCCUGCUCCAGCAUCCACCUGGAAUUUGGAGCUGGGCUGAAAUCCUGCUUCAACAUUUGCCUGAAAUUUGGGACUGGGCUGAAAUCCUGUCCAACAUCCACCUGAUUUUGGAGCUGGGCUGAAUUCCUGCUCCAAUCUGUCUGAUUUUGGAGCUGGGGAUGUGCCAAGAGGAUUUGUCCCACAUCCAGGAUGGCUCUGGGAAGCUGGAUUGGCUCUUUCUAGAUUUUUGGGAAGCAGGUGAGAGGAGUCAGGGGGCCAAAGAGCUGCCAGGUGCAGGCCUGGCACAGGAAUCCCCCGGGAUCCCGGCUGCCGUCGCUCUGUGGGAGGAGAAGAGGAGAUUUCAGGGAAAAGGAAGCUGCAGGAACACAACCUCGGCUUCCCAGCUUUUCCCAGCUCUGCCA